rnacentral:lncRNA from 1 species
GCCGCCCGGUGGCUUUGCUUCAGGCGGAAGUCCGCGUGCUUUGAUACCCUCAGGGGGCACUUACAGGCUAGGUGGACACAGGGCUAGGGGUAAGAAUGCAGCAGUGAACAUGGUUCCUGCACUCAUGAAGCAAAUGUAUCCACUGUGGUACAAAAGAGACUGUAAAAAACAAACCCAAAUGGACAACAGGAAAAGACAGAAGCUGAUUGAGGUCCCAGCUUGGUAACAGUUUGAAGAGUUGCAGGACUGGCUGGAUGAGUACUGGCUGCAGCAAAUCAGGCUGCCAGGAUUCUUUAUGGCUGUUUCUGCUUCCACUACAGCUGAGUCAGAAAGGUCGCUGCCCCGUGGUGGCACUAGACGCAGUGGACCUGGCAAGCAAAUGUUUCCGCUAUUAGCUCUCAGCAACAGAGACUCAUUUAUGGUCACCUUGGAAAUCUGGGCUUAUCGAUCUACAGCCCAAGUCUGCUGAGAAGCUGGAGCUUACUAAAGGGGAAACCUGAGAGCUGUUCAAGCCCCAAAUAUUUUCCACUUCUGCGUCACCUCUGCUGUCUGUUAGCAGAGUGGAGGAGAAAAUACACAGCACAAACAACGUGAAAAAAUAGUUACUCUAUUCAUUAAAAGCUGUAACUUCCAGAUUGGACUUGAGAAGCAAUUAAGCAACAGAGGAACCUCAUCUACUAUCUGUAUUCAGGCAUGCUCAUGAGAACACGCUGCUCCAGCUGG